CUCCCCCAACACCUUACCUCCAUGUCAGUAGGGCCCCUGUGUAAUAACAGGAAUAAAACUAAAAGAAGUAAAUGUCUCAGGAGUGUCAAGGGAAAACCCAAAGACAGUGGGGAGAUGAAAACAAGGACACACAGGCUGUUUUAGCCUCUCAUACCAAUAGCUGUAGCAAACUACACACAGCCCAUCCCAGUAGAUAAACAGAAAACCUCACAGAAGAAAUUAUUUAUUUUGGUUCUCUUACCCAGUGCAUUCCAUGGUGCAUCCUCGCCUAGAAUUGAGUGGAAGCAAGUCCAUCUCAGAAGGGACAUAACUGAAGAGGGAUGGCUUUCCAGACUCUGAUGGGCAGCGAGAGCUGCAGCCUGGCAUCUCUGAGCCCGCCCUUGGUGACCUCAGAGAGAUCACCCUAGUGGCCCAGGCUAGUGACCGGGAACAUGUACCUUCCUGCAGCCAACCCCAGACGUCCACUGAUGCAUCAUAUACUGGCAAAGAUCCUGGCCUAGGGGGGCCUUGGCCGCUGGAGAUUCGCCAGAUGUUGGACUCCAGGUAAGCUUGCUCCUGGGAGGUGGGGCGGUUAGGUCAGGGGGCAGCGGCAGCGACAGGGGGGCGGAGCGCGGCUGCCUCUGGCGAACUGUUGGAAUAGCUGCCUUCUCCCGGCUGCCGGGCCUGGGAGCGGCCUCUGCUGCCCCUGGUCACCGUACACGCCUGUCCCGCUCAGCUUGCUGAGUGGGGACGGUGCCAUUAAUGUGCGGGGCCCACGGGGUUAGGGGGGCUGCCGCGCGGAAGCCGGUCAGUUCGCUCAGCUCUCCCCCGCGGCGGAGCCAGUGGCAGCUUCUGCUGCCGUAGAGGCGGGACGCCGGUCUCCAGGUGAGCUUGCCCCUGGGAGGCGGCGGCGGCGGCUGCAGGGGGAGGGGGUCCGUUCCAGGGAGCUGCUCCAUUUCUUCUGUCCCGCGCGGCCUGGCCUGAGGGCGACCUCUGCCGCCGGAGAUUUGCCUGCGGUCCGACUCCAGGUGAGGUUGCACCUGGGAGAUGGGUGCGGUGCAGUCAGGGGGCUGGUAAGGUGGUGGCUGCGGGGAUAGGGAGGCUGCCCCGGGGGAGCUUGUGUAUUAGCUCCCAUGUCUGUGCCGCGUGGCCUGCAGGCGGCCUCUGCUGCGCCAGGUCCCCGGACACCCCUGUCCCACUUUGCCUGCUGGGGG